GGAAGCUGGAGGAAAUGGAAGCACAGCCCCUGGGAGCCCUGUACCAACACCUCCACUCUCUCUGUCCUCUCGGGUCAGAACCUGGUCCCGUGGCCACACUUCUCUGCAACAGAGACUGGAAAAUCAAGUUCUUAAUGCUCUGCUGCCUCAAACACGGCUGAGUCACAAAGGAGGAAGAGACAAGGCUGUGGAUGUCGGGUGGGCUUCUGCGUCUCUGCCAAAGUGAGGAGGGGACCGUCCACAAGGCACUGAAACACAGAGGAAGUGACUGGGAUCAAAACUAGGUGCCACGAUCACAAGAAUCAGCCAAUGGGUCAGUGGAGCGGCAGAGCCCAGAGCAGACUCAGAUGCCUGGGACAGGCUGAACGGAUCCCAGGACCCAGCGGCACCUACAACCAGACGGCCAACUGCAAGGACUGGGGUCACCCUACAUCUUGCACCUCAUACAAAACCGAUUGCAGACGGACUGGAGACUUUGAAAGAUGAAAGCACAGAGACUAGCGGGAGAGAAAAGAAGCAGUGCUGGACCCCACCUUUAAAACCUUGAGGCGAGCCUGAUGCAGUGGUGCACACCUGAAGUGUAAGUGACUUGGGAGACUGAGGCAGGAGGAUCAAAAGCUUGAGGCCAGCCUGGGCAACUUAGCAAGACUCUGCCUCAAAACAAAAAAUAAAAAGGGGUCGGGGUGUGCCUUGGUGGUAGAGCUCUUGCCCAGCCAGGGCCUAGGUUUGAUCCCCAGCACCACAAAUUCAAACAAGCACACUAAUAUCUUGUGGUGGGAACUUGGUAAGCACCUGCCAAGCACAAAAAUCCA
rnacentral:lncRNA from 1 species